rnacentral:rRNA from 1 species
UCCGUAGGCGGGCUAAUAAGUCAGGGGUGAAAUCCCACAGCUUAACUGUGGAACUGCCUUUGAUACUGUUAGUCUUGAGUUAUAUGGAAGUAGAUGGAAUGUGUAGUGUAGCGGUGAAAUGCAUAGAUAUUACACAGAACACCGAUUGCGAAGGCAGUCUACUAAUUAUGUACUGACGCUAAUGGACGAAAGCGUGGGUAGCGAACAGGAUUAGAUACCCUGGUAGUCC